rnacentral:misc_RNA from 1 species
AAGUCGUAACAAGGUUUCCGUAGGUGAACCUGCGGAAGGAUCAUUAAUGAAUAUGGAAUAUCUUAUUCUUAAACCCACCCUGAGUAUUUGUACUAGUUGCUUCCGUGGGCAGCGAAUGCUGUGUUUGCGCCCGCUGAUGAGGUGGACCCACGGGAGACAUACAUAAAAUCUGCCUUCUUGUUAUAAGUAGUCUGACUUUGUUUAUUCUUUAAACGUUAAAAACUUUCAACAACGGAUCUCUUGGUUCUC